rnacentral:rRNA from 1 species
UACGGAGGGGGCGAGCGUUAUUCGGAAUUAUUGGGCGUAAAGGGCGCGUAGGCGGCCCGGUAAGUCAAAGGUGAAAUCCCUCGGCUCAACUGAGGAACUGCCUUUGAAACUGUCGGGCUUGAGGCCGGGAGGGGGUAGCGGAAUUCCCAGUGUAGCGGUGAAAUGCGUAGAUAUUGGGAGGAACACCGGUGGCGAAGGCGGCUACCUGGACCGGUUCUGACGCUGAUGCGCGAAAGCGUGGGGAGCGAUCCGG